AAGUUCCUCUCUUUCCUCUUCUGCCUGAAUUUAUUGAGGGCCGCCUCUCGCUGCACACACCUGUCCUGUUCGACUCUGCUGCUGCCCCCACUUCCAUCACCACCACUGUUUCCGUUUAUUUCUGCAAUUCCCUUAGCAUCCUCCAUAUAAACCCCUCGGCCAUUAACAGCUGUACUGCUUCCAUUUUCCCUAGAGCUUCCAUGGUUACUUCCUGAGUUGCUUCCAAUUCUACGGUUACUUCCUGGGUUGCUUCCAAUUCUACUGUAAUUAUCAGGAUUACUUUCAUUCGGCCCAGUAAGAUUAAUGGAUGACCCACAAAGUGAGGCAGGCGGGACCUGCAUUUGCUGCAUGUUAUGGGCAGACAGAUAUCGGUGUUCGUAGUGCUGCAUCUGAACCUGAUGUUGGAUGUCUCUCGGUUGUGUUACAACAGCACCAUCAGUCUUUUCAUGCAUGGCUUGUGAAGUACGAAGCUGCACGGGGUGGAAGGCUGAGGUGUGGGCAGACUUGAAUGGUGAUUCGGACACCGUCUUCUCCUUGAAUGUUGUUGGCUUAGUGAAGGCGCUCCUUGUACUGGAGCCCAUGUCAUUGUUAUCACUGCUACCAUUAGAACCUGUAAGGAGUGCAGCAUUUACAUCAUAUAUCACAUUGUCGGUUGAUACUGUUUUUAGAGCCUCUGUGGUCUUCUUAUCAG
rnacentral:misc_RNA from 1 species